rnacentral:tRNA from 1 species
AGGUGGGAAGAGGAAUUGGUCGACUCAUCAGGCUCAUGACCUUAAGACUGUCCCCGCCU